rnacentral:rRNA from 1 species
AACGAACACUGGCGGCAGGCUUAACACAUGCAAGUCGAGCGCCCCGCAAGGGGAGCGGCAGACGGGUGAGUAACGCGUGGGAAUCUACCCAUCUCUACGGAAUAACGCAUGGAAACGUGUGCUAAUACCGUAUACGUCCUUCGGGAGAAAGAUUUAUCGGAGAUGGAUGAGCCCGCGUUGGAUUAGCUAGUUGGUGGGGUAAAGGCCUACCGAGGCGACGAUCCAUAGCUGGUCUGAGAGGAUGAUCAGCCACACUGGGACUGAGACACGGCCUAGACUCCUACGGGAGGCAGCAGUGGGGAAUAUUGGACAAUGGGCGCAAGCCUGAUCCAGCCAUGCCGCGUGAGUGAUGAAGGCCCUAGGGUUGUAAAGCUCUUUCACCGGUGAAGAUAAUGACGGUAACCGGAGAAGAAGCCCCGGCUAACUUCGUGCCAGCAGCCGCCGUAAUAC